rnacentral:rRNA from 1 species
UACGUAGGGUGCGAGCGUUGUCCGGAAUUAUUGGGCGUAAAGAGCUCGUAGGCGGUGUGUCACGUCGGCCGUGAAAACCUGCAGCUUAACUGUGGGCGUGCGGUCGAUACGGGCAUCACUGGAGUUCGGCAGGGGAGACUGGAAUUCCUGGUGUAGCGGUGAAAUGCGCAGAUAUCAGGAGGAACACCGGUGGCGAAGGCGGCUCUCUGGGCCUGUCCUGACGCUCAGGCGCGAAAGCUAGGGGAGCGAACAGG